rnacentral:rRNA from 1 species
AGAAUUUUUAAUAAAAAAAAAAUAAAUAUUUUAAUGGGGGUUAGAGUAUUUAUAAAGAAAUAAUUAAAAAUUUUAUAGGGGAUUAGUAUUGUAAAAGAAUUUUGAAAUAGUUGAAAUAAGAAAUUAAUUUAAAGUAAUUUUUAUUUAAUGUAUCUUGUGUAUCAGAGUUUAUUAAAAAAAAUAUUGUGAUAAAAAUAAUUCUCGAAUUUGAGAGAGAUAAUUAAUUAAUAAAGUUAUUGUUAUAUAAAUAUUUUAAAUAAUUAAUUGGAAAUGAAAUGUUAAAUCGUUCUCAAAUAUAUCUAGUUUUUUUAGAAAAAAAUUUAAUUUUAAAUUUAAAAAUUUAUUAAUUAAUUAAUUAAUUAAUAAAAAUUAUUUUAAAUUUUAUAAUUUAAGGGAUAAUCUUUAAUUUAAAUAAAUAUAAUAAAAAUUAAAAAAGUAUUUGAAAAUUAUAUGAUUUAAAUUAUUAAUAAAUUUUAAUUUAUUAUAAAUAAUUUCAUUUUAAAAUAAAAUUUAAUAUAAAAAUUUAUUUUUUUAUAAAAAAAUAAUUUAUAAUAAUUUAUAAUUAGAUAUAAUGAUAAAAUUAGUAUAUAAUUAAUUAAUAAUAGAAUUUAUUAUUAAGUAAAUUAAUUAAAAGGAAUUCGGCAAAAUUUUAUGUUCACUUGUUUAACAAAAACAUGUCUUUUUGAAAAUAAUAUAAAGUCUAAUCUGCCCACUGAUUUUUAUAAUUGAAGGGCUGCAGUAUUUUGACUGUACAAAGGUAGCAUAAUCAUUAGUCAUUUAAUUGAUGACUUGUAUGAAAGAUUGGAUGAAAUAUAGACUGUCUCUUAAUUAAAUUAUAGAAUUUAAUUUUUUAGUUAAAAAGCUAAAAUAAAUUAAAAAGACGAGAAGACCCUAUAGAGUUUUAUAAUUAAAUUUAAUUUAAAUUAUUUAUAAAAUUAAAAAUUUAAAUUUAAUUAAUUAUUUUAUUGGGGUGAUAGAAAAAUAAAAAAAACUUUUUUUAUAUUUAAUACAUAAAUAAGUGAAAAAUUGAUCCAGUUUUAUUGAUUAUAAGAAAAAAUUACCUUAGGGAUAACAGCGUAAUUUUUUUUUUUAGUUCAAAUAAAAAAAAGAGUUUGCGACCUCGAUGUUGGAUUAAGAUAAAAUUUAGAUGCAGAAGUUUAAAAUUUUGAUCUGUUCGAUCAUUAAAAUCUUACAUGAUCUGAGUUCAAACCGGUGUAAGCCAGGUUGGUUUCUAUCUUUUGAAAAAUAAAAUAUUUUAGUACGAAAGGAUUAAAUAUUUAAAUUAAAUUUAUUUAAGAGAAUUUUAUUAAUUUAUUUUAAAAUU